GCGCCCCAGCCCCCCCACCCCCCCGCAACGACGCGUCCCAGGGGUGCGUAGUGCUUGGCGCGGUGACCAGACCUGGCCGCCUUCCUGACUGCACAGAGCAAGAGGCCACACUCUGCAUCCCAGGCCGGGUCCCCGCGGUUCUGCAGGGAGGUCCCGGACGCCUCCCAGAUCUCGGGCUUCUGUAACCCUGAGGCUGAGUUUUAAAAUCACGGCUCUUCCAAGUUACACGAAGAGUCCAUGGUCAACGGUCAAGGGUGGUCUUCGACCCUCGGGAUCGUCUUCUUGAGAAAUGGCUGAGAGCUAAGCCUAGAGCUGCCCAGGGAAGGAAGCCAAAGAGCUGGAGCAGAGCGCGAAGGGCUGGGAGGCGCGGGGAGGCCCCUUACCCCCGCCGCCCCCCAACACUGUCCUGCCCGCUAAUAACGCUGAUAAUAGUAACAGUGUCGGCCAACUGUUUCCCCCCUGCUCCUGGUCUGCCCGGCACCGGAUCCUCCUUUAGCACUCCCGGCACUCACUGAAGAAGACACUAUGGAAUUCUCCGUUUUCCAGACUAGAAAUAAGUAACUCCGGAGAAAUUAAGAAACUCGCCCGACGACCCUCAGGCAGUAGCACCUGGCCAGGUUUGCUUUCUGAACCACUAACUCCACUCGCCCACGCCACCUUUCCUGCCUGGGCCUCUUGCGGGUCGCAGGGGUGGAAGCCUGACCUGGGCCAGGGCCCCGAUUUCUUCCUCCUGGCCUCUGUCCCACCGCCCCCGGUGCCAGGAAGCGCUUUUCUCUCCCCGAGACCCAGACGCGCCGAAAGACUCGCGCGGUCAGUUCCCUACCCCACGCCCUGGGCUGUGCGUUUUCUUGCAAGCCUCUGCCGAGAGCGGGGAACGGCGCCUCCAGACUCCCCCAGACCGCGCUCCGGCUCACGCCUGACUAGAGCACUCUGCUUCACAGAGGGGCGUUCUGUGCGUUCUUCCUCCCUGGUGUGAUUUUCGUUCUUUUUCCUCUCGUGGUCCCCAAGAACCCAGGCACCCCUCGACGUAGGUGCCGGCGGUACCGGGAAUCCCUCCCCUGGACUCUCUGCGGGCCCGAAGCCACCUCCUAAUCCCAGCCGCCUUCCCAAGGCGGCGGAGGUGGGCAGCUCCGGGCUCCGCGCCGCCCCGCGAAGCCGGAAUUUCUCUUCGGAGUCUUGAUACAGCUCUCCACUUCGUCGCCCCGCACUGGAUCCUGGUAGCGUGAAACUUGCCCAGGAAGCUGGGCUGCGCUGGCCUGGGGUGAAGGUCCAAGAGACGAGAGGGCCGGGACGCGGGGCUGUCGCAACGACGGGCCCUCUGCGAACCCUCAGGCCAGCAGGUUCGGGACUAUAGGAGUAGGAGUGGAGGUGGUGGCCACUGGAGAGUAGAGAGAACGUCCAGGAACCGGUGGACUAGGGAUCCCCGGCGGCUGGCCGAGGGUUGCAAGCAGAGGGGACUGUCGGUUGCCAGCAAGUCCCAAGCAGAUGCCUUCUGGCAGGGCAGUAACAUUCUACAGUGCCGAUUCUGUGUACAUUGAGUAUCCAAAAUGGAUAAAAUCUGUUUAUACAUUGGAAUGUAGCUUAUGAUUCCAAAAUCUCAUCUCCAGGCUGCCUAGAUCACACGGCCCCGUUUCCUUCAUUUUUACUUAAUAACGGUCGUUAGACAAUUUAGAGAAACAGCAGAAACCACGAGAAAAAUAAUGGAAUCAAACGGCGGUGCUGUUGUAGGAGCAAGGGAUACAAUGAUGAUCAAGGCAGAUACAGCCCUUACCUUCAGGUUGUGGAGUCCGGAUACAGACUGGAGGCAGGCAGCUGUAAGAUGUGUGAGAAAUGCUGCGCUGGAUCAGCCCAUGGUAUUAGGAGAGCAGAGACCGAGAGGUUGAUGUCACUCCCAAUACCGGAGGAAGUAUACACCCCCGUGUGAGAUGGUCCUUAAUAAUAUUCCAUGGCGGAGGGGGUGAUAUGACUACAUACAUGGCAGAAAGUGGAAACCCCCCAGGGAUAUUAUUCCCACCAUCCUGGAGGGAAGAAGAUGAUGUUACUUUCAACAUGAGAGAAGGCGGAUGAAGUGGUGGACUGCCCCUCCACACCUGUGGACACGCCCCCACUGAUAUUCCUUCUAAUUGCAACGUGGGAGAGGAGGAUAUGACACGCGAUAUCGCAGGGAGUAGAAACACCCCUGUGAUACUGUUCUUAAUAUUCAGGGAGGAAGAGGAUGAUAUUACUCCCAAUACAGACGGGUGUACACCCUCUGGACACCGAGGGUGUACACCUGUCUGUGAAAGAGUUCGUAAUCUUCAGAGGGGGAGAUGAUAUUACUCACAAUAUGGUAAAGAGGCUGUGAGUCCACCCAGGAUCCUCAGAGCCAGAGGGGGAAGAGGGGCUGGCUCUCAGUCCCCGCCUCGCGGGGGUGACUCUCCCCACUGCGAUGGGGGUCGUAAGAGCCAGUGGGGGAAGAGGGGCUGGCUCGGAGACCCCGCCUCACGGGGGGUGCCUCCCCCCCCUGCGAUGGGGGUCCUAAGAGCCAGUGGGGGAAGAGGGGCUGGCUCUGAGACCCCGCCUCGCGGGGUGUACCUCCCCACCCUGCGAUGGGGGUCCUAAGAGCCAGUGGGGGAAGAGGGGCUGUCUCUGAGACCCCGCCUCACGGGGUGUGCCUCCCCACCCUGCGAUGGGGGUCCUAAGAGCCAGUGGGGGAAGAGGGGCUGGCUCUGAGACCCCGCCUCGCUGGGGGUGCCUCCCCCCCUGCGAUGGGGGUCCUAAAGGCCAGUGGGGGAAGAGGGGCUGGCUCUGAGACCCCGCCUCGCUGGGGGUGCCUCCCCCCCUGCGAUGUGGGUCCUAAGAGCCAGGAGGGGAGGAAGGGCUGGCUCUCAGUCCCUGCCUCGCUGGGCGUGCCUCCCCCUACUGCGAUGGGGGUCCUAAGAGCCAGGGAGAGAAGAGGAGCUGGCUCUCAGUCCCCGCCUCGCGGGGGGUGCCUCCCCCCGUUUCGAUGGGGGUCCUAAGAGCCAGGAGCGGAAGAAGGGCUUGCGCCUCCCCGCCCUGUGAUGGGUGUCCUAAGAGCCGGAAGGCUUAGAGGGGCUGGCUCUCAGUCCCCGCCUCGCGGGGGGUGCCUCCUCCCCCUGCGAUCAGGGUCCUAAGAGCCAGUGGGGGAAUAGGGGCUGGCUCUUAGUCACCGCCUCGCGGGGGGUGCCUCCGCCCGCUGCGAUGGGGUUCCUAAGAGCCGGGGGGGAAGAGGGGUUGGCUCUCAGUCCCCGCCUUGCCGGGGGUGCCUCCUCCCCCUGCGAUGGGGGUCCUAAGGGCCCAGGAGGAAGAGGGGCUGUCUCUCAGUCCCCGCCUCGCGGGGAGUGCCUCCCCUUCCUGCGAUGGGGGUCGUAAGAGCCAGUGGGGGAAGAGGGGCUGUCUCUGAGACCCCGCCUCGCGGGGGGUGCCUUCCCCCCUGCGAUGGUGGUCCUAAGAGCCAGGCGGGGAAGAAGGGCUGGCUCUCAGUCCCCGCCUCGCAGGGGCUGCCUCCCCCACUUGCGAUGGGGGUCCUAAGAGCCUGGGGGUGAAGAGGGUCUGGAUCUCAGUCCCCGCCUCGCGGGGGGUGCCUCCCCCACUGCUAUGGGUAUCCCAAGAGCCAGUGGGGGAAGAGUUUCUGGCUCUCAGUCUCCGCCUCGCGAGGUGCCUCCCCACCCUGCGGUCGGGGUCCCAAGAGCCAGGGGGGAAGAGGGGCUAGCUCUCUUUGUGGAUGAUUCUUUUUCCAUUCUCAGGCCGUUUUCUUUUUCUUUCUUUUUCUUUUUUUUUUUUUUUUUUUGAGACUGAGUCUUGCUCUGUUGCCCAUGCUUUGCUCGAUCUCGGGUGACUGCAACCACUGCCUCCCAGGUUCAAGAGAUUCUCCUGCCUCAGCCUCCUGAGUAGCUGGGACUAGAGGCGUGUGUCACCACACCCAGCCUCCCAAAGUGCUGGGAUUGCAGGUGCGAGCCACCGGGUCCAGCCUCUCAGGCGAUUUUCAUACCUACAUACUGUGAUCACUACUCCGUUAAACAGUCAAGGAGGCUGAGUGCCACGUGCUGACAUCACUAAGAUCAAUACAGCAAACUCUGAAAGAUGGACAGAGAGACAGGAGAUGGUCCUUUAUAAUGCAGUGUGAUCUUUGCUGCAAUAGAGAUGGACGAGUGUUCUGAUCGGCUGGAAAACAACGCACAUGGGAAGCUGUACAGAAAUGAGUGGGGAAAGUUUUGGAAGCUAGAAGUUCAAAACGAGGUGUUGGCAGCACCAUGCUCUCUCUGAAGAUGCUAGGAAGAAUCUGCUCCAUGCCUUUCCAUUUGCUUCUGGGGUUUCCUGCAAGCCCUGACAUUCCUUGGCUUGUAGAUGCAUCACCCCAGUUUCCGCCCCCAUCAUCACAUGGCCUCCUCUCUGUGUGUGCCUCUGCGUUCCCUCUAUUCUUCUUCUAAGGACACCGACACCAGUCAUAGUGGAUUAAGGGUCCACUCCUAACUAAUUACAUCUGCAACAACCCUAUUUCCAAGUAAAGUCACAUUCUAAGAUUC